rnacentral:misc_RNA from 1 species
GAUGAAGAACGUAGCGAAAUGCGAUAAGUAAUGUGAAUUGCAGAAUUCAGUGAAUCAUCGAAUCUUUGAACACACAUUGCGCCCGCCAGCAUUCUGGCGGGCAUGCCUGUUCGAGCGUCAUUUCAACCCUCGAGCCCCCCCGGGGGCCUCGGUGUUGGGGGACGGCACACCAGCCGCCCCCGAAAUGCAGUGGCGACCCCGCCGCAGCCUCCCCUGCGUAGUAGCACACACCUCGCACCGGAGCGCGGAGGCGGUCACGCCGUAAAACGCCCAACUUUCUUAGAGUUGACCUCGGAUCAGGUAGGAAUACCCGCUGAACUUAAGCAUAUCAAUAAGCGGAGGA